CCAAGUCGACAAAUCUUCAAGCCUUUCAAGAUUAAAAAUAAUAAUAAUAAUAAUAGUUUACAUAUUUUUUCACAAAAUUUAAGUUAUCCAAGCUAUAGAUGUAUUGCAUCUAAAUAUCCAAGUUGCUCAUAGACAUCUACCGCAGUGGACCAAAUAACAAAAGAGCUUGCACUCUUAAUUUAAUCAGUUUCAAAAUAUUGAUUUUGGAG
rnacentral:lncRNA from 1 species